UACGUAGGUGGCAAGCGUUGUCCGGAUUUACUGGGCGUAAAGAGCGCGCAGGCGGUCGUUCAAGUCGCGUGUGAAAGCCCCCGGCUCAACUGGGGAGGGUCACGCGAUACUGAUCGACUCGAAGGCAGGAGAGGGAAGUGGAAUUCCCGGUGUAGUGGUGAAAUGCGUAGAUAUCAGGAGGAACACCUAAGGCGAAGGCAGCUCGCUGGAACGGUACUGACGCUGAGGCGCGAAAGCGUGGGGAGCAAACAGG
rnacentral:rRNA from 1 species